UCGAAGCCCAUCCACAGCAGGAUAAUUUAAGAAGGUGUGGUUUGAUAUAGUCAGCCACAAAGAAGAACGAAACCAAGCCAUCUGCAGUCAAAGAGAUAGACUUGAAGAUUCUUGUAUUAAGCAAGCAUUCCGUUUGCCUGAAUUGGGCCUCAGAGCCACAAGUGACUGCACGGUCAUUCUUCCAUUCCAUGGUGACCAGGAACAUUUGGAAACUGGUUUGAAGGGCAUUUCUUUUCCAGUCAGUAGACUGUAAAACUUCAAUUGAAGACUGAAUUCACUCAAUGCUCUGAACUAAUAAGGUCUACGUGUUGCCUGAAGGCCAGUGACUAUAACAGUUCAUCGUGUCGGGAAGAUUUACAGACUGAACCCAGGGCCUCUUACGUGCUAGGUGAGUGCGCUCCCACUGAUUUGCAGUCUAGCCUUGGAAUUCAAACUAUUAACACACACAGGUUUUGAAGUUUGCACGUUGAUUGCAUCAAGGCAAUUAAGAAUUAGCUCCAUUGCAUUAAGACAGAAAACCUAAUGAAAAGCAAAGGGCCCCAUUCCCAGGCUGCUGUUUGUUCUCUUUCCUGGGGUACGCCUGUCUAACUCUCUACUUCUGAGUUAGACAUUUGCGCCUGCCCUGUCCUUCCCACAGGGACUGCCUAUUGAGCAUCCACCCUAUAUAUGAGCAUAUAUAUAUGCUUAUAUAGCAUCCUGAAAACAGCACUUUCCCAAGGGCUAGACAUAGACCUGCACCUGGAUCCAUACAAGCCAGAAUAAGGAAUAGGAGCCACACAAACCUUAGAAGGAAUGAGCCAGAGUGCCAAGACUAUGCCAGGGGUUGCAGGCAGCCUGGCUACAGCACCCAUGCGCAAAACAUCCAGUCCAAGAAUGUCUACCAUACAUUGUCUCUCUUGUUCCUCAGUGUCUGUGCCAGGUAGACAUGACCUGGCAGAGGCUGGUCAGAGGCAAGAUGAGGGUUGUGCUUUUUGUUUGUUUGUUUGUUUGAGACAGAAUUUUUUUUUCUGUGUAGCCCUGGCUGUCCUGGAACUUACUCUGUAUACUAGGCUGGCCUAGAACUCAGAAAUCCACCUGCUUCUGUCUCCCAAGUGCUGGGAUUAAAGGCAAUGUCUCAUCGCCAGGGAGAGAAUGCUUAGAGACACAGGGAUAGAAACAACCAUCUUUAUGUUUCAAUACUUGAUAGGCAUUUUCUCUGAACUUUGCCCCUGCUCUUGCUUCCUGAGUGCUCACAGGGUCUCACCAAAGCUCCCUCAUCACUGGCUCACCCCAAGCAAGCACUCGUAACAUGCCUUAGCCAGAGUUUCAGAUCCCCGGAAGCUGAUCUCUGUCUGCUAUAGCUCAUUUUUCUAAGAACAUAUUGUAUCUUGCCAUACUGUAUAUUGCCAUUAGACUGUGACAUGAUCUUUCAUGUUCUAAACAGAGGUCUCCAUCCAUGUCUGCAGACUAAGGCCUCUUCACCCAGAUCCCUUCCUGAGAUCUCUGGCUCUCUUACCUCCCAUAUCUGCAUUCUCCCAUUUCCUAGCCUUGUUUAUGUAGCUCUUGUAGCCAUUAGAUGUUGUCUUUAGCACUGCCUAUUAUCUAAGUGAUAGAAGCUAUUAUACUUCUUAUACCUAAACCCAAUGGUGCAAAUUCGGAAAUGACCCCACCCCCUUUGCCUCAAGAUGCUCUGUUUACAUUUGCUGGAAAAAAUGGUCAAGAUAAAUGUACAAAUUUUCACCAUGUUGACAAUAUAAGGGUCCCAGGGAAGACCAUUCCCCAGGCAUUGAGCCAUUCAGUUAGUGGUGGUACCAGUAAGAUAUGAAAGCUGUCGUUCAUCCUUUCAUGUUCUCCAAUAGGACUGAAUUAUGAUGCAACUGCCACACACAUUAAAAUACCUUUGCUUUUCUUCAGAGUAAGAUGGACUAAAUUAUUUUUGUGGGGAGCUGAGUGGUAUUGUUUGACUAGCAUGCAUAACACCUUGGGCUUCAUUCCCAUAAUUAC